rnacentral:rRNA from 1 species
UACAGUGGCGUACGGGUGAGUAACACGUGACUACCUACCUUCGAGUGGGGGAUAACUCCGGGAAACCGGAGCUAAUACCGCAUAAUAUCGAGAGAUCAAAGAAGCAAUUCGCUGGAAGAGGGGGUCGCGGCUGAUUAGCUAGUUGGCGGGGUAAUGGCCCACCAAGGCGAUGAUCGGUAGCCGGCCUGAGAGGGCGCACGGCCACACUGGAACUGAAACACGGUCCAG